AUACGGAGGGUGCAAGCGUUAUUCGGAAUUACUGGGCGUAAAGGGCGCGCAGGCGGCCUGUUAAGUCAGUUGUGAAAGCCCGGGGCUCAACCCCGGAAGUGCGACUGAAACUGGCGGGCUUGAGUAUGGGAGAGGGAAGUGGAAUUCCUGGUGUAGCGGUGAAAUGCGUAGAUAUCAGGAGGAACACCAGUGGCGAAGGCGACUUCCUGGACCAAUACUGACGCUGAGGCGCGAAGGCGUGGGGAGCAAACAGGAUUAGAUACCCUGGUAGUCCACGCAGUAAACGGUGAUCACUAGGUGUUGCGGGCUUUGAUGCCUGCAGUGCCGGAGCAAACGCAUUAAGUGAUCCGCCUGGGGAGUACGGCCGCAAGGUUAAA
rnacentral:rRNA from 1 species